AUUGAACGCUGGCGGCAGGCCUAACACAUGCAAGUCGAACGAGUGGCGGACGGGUGAGUAAUGUCUGGGAAACUGCCCGAUGGAGGGGGAUAACUACUGGAAACGGUAGCUAAUACCGCAUACCAUCGGAUGUGCCCAGAUGGGAUUAUCUAGUAGGUGGGGUAACGGCUCACCUAGGCGACGAUCCCUAGCUGGUCUGAGCGGAUGACCAGCAACCCUGGAACUGAGACACGGUCCAGACUCCUACGGGAGGCAGCAGUGGGAAAUAUUGCACGAUGGGCGCAAGCCUGAUGCCGCCAUGCCGCGUGUAUGAAUAAGGCCUUCGGGUUGUAAAGUACUUUCAGCGAAGAGGCGUUACUCGCAGGAGAAGCACCGGCUAACUCCGUGCCAGCAGCCGCGGUAAUAC
rnacentral:rRNA from 1 species